CGGCUGAACACGAAGGCAAACAUGUUUCACAAGCACAUUGCACAGUCAGCCGCAUGCCCCCGCUGUCAAGACCCUCAUGAAGAUGCCCUACACCUCAUCUCCAACUGUUCUUACGCUACACAAGUCUGGUCCGCCUUGGGACUGCAGGCUCCAACCUCUCUUGAUGAUCUGAUUCAACACCCAACGCUUCAAGGCCUCAACCCCAACAUAUGGCCUUCGGUAGCUCUGUCUAUCUCUUGGAAACUAUGGGACUCAAGAAACGCUCUAGUAUUCAGGAACGAGGAUCACUCCACCAGGACCACGCUACGAAACAUUGUUGCUGAUUUCUCUCUAUGGGUUUUUCGGUUCAAAAACAAG
rnacentral:rRNA from 1 species